AUGGUAGGAUAGAGGCCUACCGUGGUGGUAACGGGUAACGGGGUGUUAGGGCACGACACCGGAGAGGGAGCCUGAGAAACGGCUACCACAUCCNAGGAUGGCAGCAGGCGCGCAAAUUACCCAAUCCCGACACGGGGAGGUAGUGACAAUAAAUAACAAUACGGGGUCCUUUAGGAUCUCGUAAUUGGAAUGAGUACAAUUUAAAUCUCUUAACGAGGAACAAUUGGAGGGCAAGUCUGGUGCCAGCAGCCGCGGUAAUUCCAGCUCCAAUAGCGUAUAUNAAAGUUGUUGCAGUUAAAAAGCUCGUAGUUGAAUUUCGGGGUCAGUAGGUCGGUCGUGCCACUGGUAUGAACUGGUUUUACUGAUUCCUCCCUCUNGAAGAACUGUAAUGCCAUUAAUUUGGUGUUGCAGGGAAUCAGGACUGUUACUUUGAAAAAAUUAGAGUGUUUAAAGCAGGCUUUAGCUUGAAUACAUUAGCAUGGAAUAAUGAAAUAGGACGUUUGAUCCUAUUUUGUUGGUUUCUAGGAUUGACGUAAUGAUUAAUAGGGAUAGUUGGGGGCAUUAGUAUUCAAUUGUCAGAGGUGAAAUUCUUGGAUUUAUUGAAGACUAACUACUGCGAAAGCAUUUGCCAAGGAUGUUUUCAUUAAUCAAGAACGAAAGUUAGGGGAUCGAAGACGAUCAGAUACCGUCGUAGUCUUAACCAUAAACUAUGCCGACGAGGGAUUGGAUGAUGUUAAUUUUUUAAUGACUCANUCGGCGCCUUACGGGAAACCAAAGUGUUUGGG
rnacentral:rRNA from 1 species